rnacentral:rRNA from 1 species
GACGAACGCUGGCGGCGUGCUUAACACAUGCAAGUCGAACGGAAAGGCCCAGCUUGCUGGGUACUCGAGUGGCGAACGGGUGAGUAACACGUGGGUUAUCUGCCCUCAACUUUGGGAUAAGCCUGGGAAACUGGGUCUAAUACCGGAUAUGAUCAACUGUCGCAUGGUGGUUGGUGGAAAGCUUUUGCGGUUGAGGAUGGGCCCGCGGCCUAUCAGCUUGUUGGUGGGGUAAUGGCCUACCAAGGCGACGACGGGUAGCCGACCUGAGAGGGUGAUCGGCCACACUGGGACUGAGACACGGCCCAGACUCCUACGGGAGGCAGCAGUGGGGAAUAUUGCACAAUGGGGGAAACCCUGAUGCAGCAACGCCGCGUGAGUGAUGACGGCCUUCGGGUUGUAAAGCUCUGUCUUCAGGGACGAUAAUGACGGUACCUGAGGAGGAAGCCACGGCUAACUACGUGCCAGCCGCCGCUGUAACAC